GAUGAACGCUGGCGGCGUGCUUAACACAUGCAAGUCGAACGGAGAAAGGGUAGCUUGCUAUCUUUCUUAGUGGCGGACGGGUGAGUAACGCGUGGGUAACCUGCCCUUUGCAGGGGGAUAACAGUGAGAAAUCACUGCUAAUACCGCAUACCAACUUCUUUCGCAUGAAAGAAGUUUGAAAGAUUUAUCGGCAAAGGAUGGACCCGCGUCCCAUUAGCUAGUUGGUGAGGUAACGGCCCACCAAGGCGACGAUGGGUAGCCGGCCUGAGAGGGUGGACGGCCACACUGGGACUGAGACACGGCCCAGACUCCUACGGGAGGCAGCAGUCGGGAAUCUUCCACAAUGGGCGAAAGCCUGAUGGAGCGACGCCGCGUGAGGGAUGACGGCCUUCGGGUUGUAAACCUCUUUCAGCAGGGAAGAAGCGAAAGUGACGGUACCUGCAGAAGAAGCACCGGCUAACUACGUG
rnacentral:rRNA from 1 species